AAUUAUUCUAAAUCUGCCCAUAUAUGGACACGUCCGAAUCUUUCGGUUUUCACUGUCUACAAUGUUGCAUCUGCGUCUGCUGGUAAUGCACCCACAAAGAAGUAAACUCUAUGGGGCUAUUUUCAUCAUUAUUAUGUUUCUUUAUGUUACUUUUGACGGUACAGCGAUCCGGGGCUAUUCCCAGAAGAUCCGGGGCUAUAGCCUGGAAUGCCCCGGUCUACCGACGCGCCUGGGUAGAGGCCCCUGGCAGUGGUUGGGAUGAGGUCAGGUGGUGGUGGUGAGACAUGUGUUCCCCCCCUCCAUCCCCUCCAACACCAGUCUUACCCCCGUUGGUCCUGAUGUGGGCGGGGUCCAGGGGGGUGGAGAUGUCCUCGAUGCCUUUCAGCUGGACCACACAC